rnacentral:sRNA from 1 species
UUGAUAGUGAUUUAGGACUGUAUGGGUAUAUUUUACUGUAUUGUUAAUGUCAUAGAUUUUUAAAAAUGAUAUUUGAUUCUUUUGAUGUCUCAAUUUAGAUUUUUAACAAAUAUACGAAUGUACUUUAUGCAUUUGAUCUCACUUUAUUUUAUACACGCAAAAACACAAACCACAUUUCUUACUCUCAUACAUGUAUUUAAAUUAUGUUUUGAUAUUCUUAUCAUAUUAUGAAUUUGUAUCUUUAUGAUGUCUAUUUAUUAUAAUAAUAUGAUUUUGUUUAAAGAGUAUGCAUCAGAAUUUGAAUCAUACCAAAAAAUUGCACCGGAAUGGUAUUUUUAUUAUACACAAACACACCUUAUGGUUCGUUUUACAACAGCAUUGUCUACAGUCAUGUUUAGAUAUUGUAUUGAGAACCGGUUCAGCGCCACCUAGUUUAGAGAGCCAGUUGAUUUGUUCUAUGACUGUUUGGGUCCUGGUCAAUUUGAACCGUUUUACACGAUGGUGACAAUUAUCUAGAUUAAUAUGUGUAUUAUGAAAACCCUGUGCAUUAUCUGUUAUCAGUUCUUUGAUUGACAGAAUGAAGUGUACUAUUGAGAGGUUGUUUAUUAGAUAGACUAAGUACACUUGUUCACAAAGAUAACGUGACCUGAUUCAUGCUGGGUUUAGUUGCUACAGUAAAUACAUGUACAUGUAAAUUGUUAUCUUUGGCAGUGGGACUGUUAUGUCAAGUCAUGAAACAUUCCUUAAAGAUUGAUGAUGUUAUGUUUAUAUAUUUACACGUAUAGUUAUAAUACAAACAUAUCACUAACAAAGUCACGUUGGUUUAUUGUAAUAAAUUGGCAACAGAUCUGUU